ACUUCCUUGCCAAGAGAAGAAUUUGGUCCCUUUUUUAUGCCUAACUUGACAGCCGCAAAUAUAGAGCAGAGAGAAGGCAUAGAUUACAGCUAUAUUGGAACGAUCGUAAGCAAUGAACAUAUUGGUCAGGGCAGCGAGAUGGAGCAACCUUUUGAGGGAGAAAAGCAAGAGGAGAGUAUGGAAGAACAUGAAGUAGACAUAGAUCACAGCUGCAGUGCAACAACGCUUAGCAAUGAACACAUUGAUCAGGGCAGCGCGAUGGAGCAACCUUUUGAGGGAGAAAUGCAAGAGGAGAGUAUGGAAGAACAUGAAGUAGACAUAGAUCACAGCAACAGUGCAACAACGCUUAGCAAUGAACACACUGAUCAGGUCAGCGAAAUGGAGCAACCUUUUGAGACAAGUGUGCAACAGGAGAGCAUGGAAGAACAUGAAGUUGAUGUCUCGGGAGAUGAGCUAAAAGAUGAUACAGAGUCUGGGGAUGAGAAGAGUGGAAUUGAAGUAACACGAGGUCUGGAAGAAAAUGAUGUUACAGUGGA
rnacentral:lncRNA from 1 species